GACGAACGCUGGCGGCGUGCUUAACACAUGCAAGUCGAACGGAAAGGCCCUGCUUUUGUGGGGUGCUCGAGUGGCGAACGGGUGAGUAACACGUGAGUAACCUGCCCUUGACUUUGGGAUAACUUCAGGAAACUGGGGCUAAUACCGGAUAGGAGCUCCUGCUGCAUGGUGGGGGUUGGAAAGUUUCGGCGGUUGGGGAUGGACUCGCGGCUUAUCAGCUUGUUGGUGGGGUAGUGGCUUACCAAGGCUUUGACGGGUAGCCGGCCUGAGAGGGUGACCGGCCACAUGGGGACUGAGAUACGGCCCAGACUCCUACGGGAGGCAGCAGGGGGGAGUAUUGCACAAUGGGCGGAAGCCUGAUGCAGCAACGCCGCGUGCGGGAUGACGGCCUUCGGGUUGUAAACCGCUUUCGCCUGUGACGAAGCGUGAGUGACGGUAAUGGGUAAAGAAGCACCGGCUAACUACGUG
rnacentral:rRNA from 1 species